ensembl:lncRNA
AUGGCCAGGGAUUUGCUGUAUUAUUUUCUGAUCCUGAUUUUCGGCAUUCCAAUGCACGAAUGUGUGGCGGUACUCCGAGAUGGCAGGUGUGUCAUCGAGGAACCCUGUUUUGAUCUGAGCGUGAUGGCUAAUUCAGCCAGGCUUGUCAGCAAGGAUGUGAUAACUGCGGAUGGUGAGAAGAUCCUGUUGAGGCACAGCUCCUUUGACAAAAUUCGAAAAAAGAAAAAUCUUCAUGGCUGUGUCCUGCAGAAAAUCCUUGACCUAUUUCAAGAGGUUCUCGAUAAGACAAAUGGGACCUAUGUCCAUAAAAAUGAAGAAAUAAACCACCAUACUGAGCUUAUACACAUUAUGGAUCAACUCAGAAACUGUGUUUAUAAGAAAAAAGAUAGAUGUAAAAAGCUAUAUAAGAUGUCUGAAAUAACCACAACUCCCUCUCCAAUGAUUUUGGAGGAAAAAAUGAACCCAAAUCAGCUUGCUGUUUUACAGCUACAAAAACUGAAGUCUGCCAGUGAGAGGGUCAGUGAUGUGCAUAUCCAGGAGAAGGUCAUGGAUGAGCUGAAAACUCUCCAUCUCUACAUGCAGGGAAAAGGCUUCCGAAAAAAUACGAACGACUAAGGAGAAGCAUGAUGUUUUAUAAAUUCUGGCCAACAACGUGUUAUGUCACAUCUCUGUCUGAUCACUUUAAGAUGUGUCAGUUUAAGCAGGGACAGAAUACCAAGCUAUCUCUUGUAAAUGAGACAAAACUUAUUUUCCUGACUUUUUGUUUCUAAUAAGAUAUUUUAGUUGUUCGUGUUUUUAGUGCAAAUGUCUUUUUUGCUUUUUAAGUAAUGAGUAUUUAAACAGUUUAUGCAUAUUGCUUACGUACUUUCGGUGAAAGAUUGAGUGUACUGCAGUAAACGCAGGUGAGAAAAUAAACAAGAUAGAGAUAAUUUUGUCA